rnacentral:tRNA from 1 species
UGGGGAAUGGUGUAAUGGUAGCACGGAUGGCUCUGGACCAUCUAGUUGGGGUUCGAGUCCCUAUUCCCCAG